rnacentral:rRNA from 1 species
UUUUCUCGACAAGAGAAACACUUCUUAGAAGGACUUUUUGUAUUGAAACAAGAGGAAGUUUGAGGCAAUAGCAGGUCUGUAAUGCCCUUAGAUGUUCUGGAACGCACGCGCGUUACUAUUGAAAAGUAAAAGCUUAUUUUCGGCACGGUGCGCUCGUAAGGGCGUGCCGUGUCGUAACCAAACAUGAAAAUGAAGCUAUCGUGCUCUCGGGUGCGAUACAGGGAAUCUUUUGAAAUCUUUUCACCAAUUGGGAUAGACAAUUGCAAUUAUUUGUCUUGAACGAGGAAUAUCUAGUAAGUAUGUGUCAUCAACACAUGCUGACUUCGUCACUACCCUUUGUACACACCGCCCGUCGCUUCUACCGAUUGCAACAUCCGGUGAGAUCUCUGGAGGAUGCCAUUCGCUAAGACUGUGCAUCCGAAAUUGCUCAAAUCUUAUGUCGUAGAGGGCUGAGACUGC